rnacentral:rRNA from 1 species
UUUCACCUACGGGAGGCAGCAGUGAGGGAUAUUGGUCAAUGGGGGAAACCCUGAACCAGCAACGCCGCGUGAGGGAAGACGGUUUUCGGAUUGUAAACCUCUGUCCUCUGUGAAGAUAAUGACGGUAGCAGAGGGGGAAGCUCCGGCUAACUACGUGCCAGCAGCCGCGGUAAUACGUAGGGAGCAAGCGUUGUCCGGAUUUACUGGGUGUAAAGGGUGCGUAGGCGGGCUUGCAAGUCAGAAGUGAAAUCUAUGGGCUUAACCCAUAAACUGCUUUUGAAACUGUAAGUCUUGAGUGAAGUAGA